rnacentral:rRNA from 1 species
AUGAACCUGGAGCUUGCUCUAGGGGAUUAGUGGCGAACGGGUGAGUAACACGUGAGUAACCUGCCCUUGACUCUGGGAUAACCUCCGGAAACGGAAGCUAAUACCGGAUACGACGUACGGAGGCAUCUCCUGUACGUGGAAAGAACUUCGGUCAAGGAUGGACUCGCGGCCUAUCAGGUAGUUGGUGAGGUAACGGCUCACCAAGCCUACGACGGGUAGCCGGCCUGAGAGGGUGACCGGCCACACUGGGACUGAGACACGGCCCAGACUCCUACGGGAGGCAGCAGUGGGGAAUAUUGCACAAUGGGCGCAAGCCUGAUGCAGCAACGCCGCGUGAGGGAUGACGGCCUUCGGGUUGUAAACCUCUUUUAGUAGGGAAGAAGCGAAAGUGACGGUACCUGCAGAAAAAGCACCGGCUAACUACGUGCCAGCAGCCGCGGUAAUACGUAGGGUGCGAGCGUUGUCCGGAAUUAUUGGGCGUAAAGAGCUCGUAGGCGGUCUGUCGCGUCUGCUGUGAAAACCCGAGGCUCAACCUCGGGCCUGCAGUGGGUACGGGCAGACUAGAGUGCGGUAGGGGAGAAUGGAAUUCCUGGUGUAGCGGUGGAAUGCGCAGAUAUCAGGAGGAACACCGAUGGCGAAGGCAGUUCUCUGGGCCGUAACUGACGCUGAGGAGCGAAAGCGUGGGGAGCGAACAGGAUUAGAUACCCUGGUAGUCCACGCCGUAAACGUUGGGCGCUAGAUGUGGGGAC